rnacentral:rRNA from 1 species
AACGUAGGAGACAAACGUUAUCCGGAGUUACUGGGCGUAAAGGGCGUGUAGGUGGUUUCGUAAGUCUGGCGUGAAAUAUCUCGGCUUAACCGAGGCAGGUCGUCGGAUACUGCGGAACUAGAGGACGGUAGAGGCGUGUGGAAUUCCGGGUGUAGUGGUGAAAUGCGUAGAGAUCGGGAAGAACAUCGGUGGCGAAAGCGCUCUACUGGACCGCAACUGACACUCAGGGACGAAAGCUAGGGGAGCGAAUGGG